UGUUUAUGUGGUGUAGUGGUUAUCACGUUUGCCUUACGCGCAAAAGGUCUCCGGUUCGAUCCCGGGCAAGAAUAU
rnacentral:tRNA from 1 species